rnacentral:ncRNA from 1 species
AGAAUAUGGCAAAGCACGCGAAAGCGUGUGACGCAAAGCUAUAGGGCCUAAGUAAUGAUAUGGCAGCCAGUUGC